rnacentral:rRNA from 1 species
AUUGAACGCUGGCGGCAGGCCUAACACAUGCAAGUCGAACGAGUGGCGGACGGGUGAGUAAUGUCUGGGAAACUGCCUGAUGGAGAGGGAUAACUACUGGAAACGGUAGCUCAUACCGCAUACCAUCGGAUGUGCCCAGAUGGGCUUAGCUAGUAGGUGGGGUAAAGGCUACCCUAGGCGACGAUCCCUAGCGGGUCUGAGAGGAUGACCAGGCACACUGGGAAUGAGACACGGUCCAGACUCCUACGGGAGGCAGCAGUGGGUAAUAUUGCACAAUGGGCGCAAGCCUGAUGCAGCCAUGCCGCGUGUAUGAAGAAGGCCUUCGGGUUGUAAAGUACUUUCAGCGGGGAGGCGUUACCCGCAGAAGAAGCAGCGGCUAACUCCGUGCCAGCAGCCGCGGUAAUAC